rnacentral:rRNA from 1 species
AGCGAACGCUGGCGGCAGGCCUAACACAUGCAAGUCGAACGAACUCUUCGGAGUUAGUGGCGGACGGGUGAGUAACACGUGGGAACGUGCCUUUUGGUUCGGAAUAACUCAGGGAAACUUGUGCUAAUACCGAAUGUGCCCUUCGGGGGAAAGAUUUAUCGCCAUUUGAGCGGCCCGCGUCUGAUUAGCUAGUUGGUGAGGUAACGGCUCACCAAGGCGACGAUCAGUAGCUGGUCUGAGAGGAUGACCAGCCACACUGGGACUGAGACACGGCCCAGACUCCUACGGGAGGAAGCAGUGGGGAAUCUUGCGCAAUGGGCGAAAGCCUGACGCAGCCAUGCCGCGUGAAUGAUGAAGGUCUUAGGAUUGUAAAAUUCUUUCACCGGGGACGAUAAUGACGGUACCCGGAGAAGAAGCCCCGGCUAACUUCGUG